rnacentral:lncRNA from 1 species
UUGACUCCGAUCCCGCACUCAGUCUCACUCACUCACGGGCACACUACGUCUCUCUCUCAAUCGCGCCAUCACCUCUUCAACGCCUCCCUUGACUCCCUCGUCACGCGUCUUGCUCCCAAUCCACGGACCCAGUGGUGCCGGAUUUUUCCUUUUUCCUCUCGGAAUUUGCUUGGUAGUGACACAAGUCCUCGUUGCUUGGCUACGGUCAAACUCGGGUGCUGAGAGUGCUGCGACUGCGAGUCUGUGCGUGUGUGUGUGCAUGAGUGAGUGAGUUUGAGUAUGUGUGUGUGUGUGAAUGAGAGGAAGAAUCUUGACCGGAUGAGUGCUAGGUGUAGUGAGGAGAAUUUUUGGGAAUUAUGGGGUAGGGGCUGAGACUGGGAAGUAGGGGCAGUAGGUGUGACGAGAGCGGGAGAGAUGGACCGGCGGAAUAGAACGAGAAGAUUCGUGGAUUGUGAGUUUGAAAGAGGAGG